CUUUAUUUCUAUGUCUAUUAAUUAAGAAGCGUGCUUUCAUUAUUUGCCAACAUUUUACAUAUCACAUUAUAAAAAAAGACUAUUAUUUUGCAAACUACCAUAGAUUUCCGGUAAUUGUUCUGCAUAGACCACACCACAUUGGAGUCCCUGUAAUUUUUUUUUCAAGUGGACCUCAGUUACCCACCCUACCCCAUCAUUACAUAAAAGUUAAUAAACAAAUGUCUACGGAAAUACUUCUGUCCG
rnacentral:lncRNA from 1 species